AGUCGAACGAACUCUGGUAUUGAUUGGUGCUUGCAUCAUGAUUUACAUUUGAGUGAGUGGCGAACUGGUGAGUAACACGUGGGAAACCUGCCCAGAAGCGGGGGAUAACACCUGGAAACAGAUGCUAAUACCGCAUAACAACUUGGACCGCAUGGUCCGAGUUUGAAAGAUGGCUUCGGCUAUCACUUUUGGAUGGUCCCGCGGCGUAUUAGCUAGAUGGUGGGGUAACGGCUCACCAUGGCAAUGAUACGUAGCCGACCUGAGAGGGUAAUCGGCCACAUUGGGACUGAGACACGGCCCAAACUCCUACGGGAGGCAGCAGUAGGGAAUCUUCCACAAUGGACGAAAGUCUGAUGGAGCAACGCCGCGUGAGUGAAGAAGGGUUUCGGCUCGUAAAACUCUGUUGUUAAAGAAGAACAUAUCUGAGAGUAACUGUUCAGGUAUUGACGGUAUUUAACCAGAAAGCCACGGCUAACUACGUGCCAGCAGCCGCGGUAAUACGUAGGUGGCAAGCGUUGUCCGGAUUUAUUGGGCGUAAAGCGAGCGCAGGCGGUUUUUUAAGUCUGAUGUGAAAGCCUUCGGCUCAACCGAAGAAGUGCAUCGGAAACUGGGAAACUUGAGUGCAGAAGAGGACAGUGGAAC
rnacentral:rRNA from 2 species